rnacentral:misc_RNA from 1 species
GUAAAUGUAUAUAGGCACAAAGGCCCAUUGAUUACAUUCUAAGACAUACAUUGGGUAUAUGAAGAAACAUAGGCCUGGAAAUGUAAAGAGAGACAUCAAGUCAAUCCUCAAACCUGAGUGGCUAGCACUCAGAGAGAUAUCCAGGUCUACAAAAGAUGCACAGGUGGAGAUAUAAAGAUGACAAGUGUGCACAUGCCCCCUAGGGAACCAGCACCAACUCAUCAGGUUUAUUUCAAUAAUGAUCCUUCCGCAGGUUCACCUACGGAAA